UGGUAGUAGGGGUGCCUCUGUCCCCAUAAACAAAUUUACAGUCUGCCGCUAUAUCAGCCAUACUACC
rnacentral:tRNA from 1 species